rnacentral:rRNA from 1 species
GCAUACGUCCUACGGGAGAAAGCAGGGGACCUUCGGGCCUUGCGCUAUCAGAUGAGCCUAGGUCGGAUUAGCUAGUUGGUGAGGUAAUGGCUCACCAAGGCUACGAUCCGUAACUGGUCUGAGAGGAUGAUCAGUCACACUGGAACUGAGACACGGUCCAGACUCCUACGGGAGGCAGCAGUGGGGAAUAUUGGACAAUGGGCGAAAGCCUGAUCCAGACAGGCCGCGUGUGUGAAGAAGGUCUUCGGAUUGUAA